AUUGAACGCUGGCGGCAGGCCUAACACAUGCAAGUCGAGCGAGUGGCGGACGGGUGAGGAAUGUAUGGGGACUGCCUGAUAGAGGGGGAUAACUACGGGAAACGGUGGCUAAUACCGAAUACUAUCGGAUAACCCAUAUGGGAUUGGGUAGUAGGUGGGGUAAAGGCUCACCUAGGCGACGAUCUCUAGCUGGUCGGUGCGGAUGACCUGCCACACUGGGACUUGGACACGGCCCAUGCUCCUACGGAGGACGCAGUGGUGAAUAUUGCACAAUGGGCGCAACCCUGAUGCACGCAUGCCGCGUGUAUGAAGAAGGCCUUAGGGUUGUAAAGUUCUUUCGGUGGCGAGGCGUUACCCGCAGAAGAAGCACCGGCUAACUCCGUGCCAGCAGCCGCGGUAAUUC
rnacentral:rRNA from 1 species